rnacentral:rRNA from 1 species
ACGCUGGCGGCGUGCUUAACACAUGCAAGUCGAACGAUGAAGCCUAGCUUGCUAGGUGGAUUAGUGGCGAACGGGUGAGUAAUACGUGAGUAACCUACCUUUAACUCUGGGAUAAGCCUGGGAAACUGGGUCUAAUACCGGAUACGACCAAUCUCCGCAUGGGGUGUUGGUGGAAAGCGUUAUGUAGUGGUUAUAGAUGGGCUCACGGCCUAUCAGCUUGUUGGUGAGGUAACGGCUCACCAAGGCGACGACGGGUAGCCGGCCUGAGAGGGUGACCGGCCACACUGGGACUGAGACACGGCCCAGACUCCUACGGGAGGCAGCAGUGGGGAAUAUUGCACAAUGGGCGCAAGCCUGAUGCAGCGACGCCGCGUGAGGGAUGACGGCCUUCGGGUUGUAAACCUCUGUUAGCAGGGAAGAAGAGAGAUUGACGGUACCUGCAGAGAAAGCGCCGGCUAACUACGUGCCAGCAGCCGCGGUAAUACGUAGGGCGCGAGCGUUGUCCGGAAUUAUUGGGCGUAAAGAGCUUGUAGGCGGUUUGCCGCGUCUGCUGUGAAAGGCCGGAGCUUAACUCCGUGUAUUGCAGUGGGUACGGGCAGACUAGAGUGCAGUAGGGGAGACUGGAAUUCCUGGUGUAGCGGUGGAAUGCGCAGAUAUCAGGAGGAACACCGAUGGCGAAGGCAGGUCUCUGGGCUGUAACUGACGCUGAGAAGCGAAAGCAUGGGGAGCGAACAGGAUUAGAUACCCUGGUAGUCCAUGCCGUAAACGUUGGGCACUAGGUGUGGGGGACAUUCCACGUUUUCCGCGCCGUAGCUAACGCAUUAAGUGCCCCGCCUGGGGAGUACGGCCGCAAGGCUAAAACUCAAAGAAAUUGACGGGGGCCCGCACAAGCGGCGGAGCAUGCGGAUUA